rnacentral:rRNA from 1 species
UGAGGAAUAUUGCGCAAUGGCCGAAAGGCUGACGCAGCGACGCCGCGUGAAGGAUGAAGUCCGUUAGGAUGUAAACUUCUUUUGCAGGGGAUGAAUGUUCCGUUACGCGGAAUUGACCGUACCCUGCGAAUAAGGAUCGGCCAACUACGUGCCAGCAGCCGCGGUAAUACGUAGGAUCCGAGCGUUGUCCGGAAUUACUGGGUGUAAAGGGCGUGUAGGUGGAUCUCCAAGUCGAUCGUGAAAUCUUGCAGCUUAACUGCAAAACUGCCGUCGAUACUGGAGAUCUUGAGUGCGGCAGAGGGAGAUGGAAUUCAUGGUGUAGCGGUGAAAUGUGUAGAUAUCAUGAAGAACACCGGUAGCGAAGGCGGUCUCCUGGUCCGUAACUGACACUGAGGCGCGAAAGCGUGGGGAGCAAACAGGAUUAGAUACCCUGGUAGUCCACGCCUUAAACGAUGGGUACUCGGUGCUGGGCCGCAAGGUUCAGUGCCUACGCUAACGCAUUAAGUACCCCACCUGGGGAGUACGAUCGCAAGGUUG